UUAAUGGUUCCCGUAAUUCCGUUCCUCGUCGAAGUCCUAAGUCCUAACAUAAAAAUUUUCGUAGGAUUUUCAAUUAAGCAUCAUGUUAUUUUAAAAAAAGUCAGCCAUGUCACUGUCAGCAUGUCAGCUAUGGAAUUGUUUUAUGUGGAAUGCGUUGUAAAAUUUUCUUUUCGUUUUUUCUAGUAGUUUCUCUACUGCAUGAUCAAUCGUAAUUCAUUUGUUAGACACUUAAACAAGUCACGUUUUAAGGAAAUGUUUGAAACCACUUUGGAUUCCCAGACUGCAUCGUGAACCACAUCGUGUGACUACAACAGUUGAAGCAUGAAUUCUUCUUGUGUGCAUCGGAUUUUCAAUCUCUGUUCUGUAAGUGGUGGGUGUUGCAAGAAAUUUAUUUUCUCAGGAUCUGUGUCUGGCUAUCAUCUGGCUGCUUCAACAACUCAAUGCAAAAGUUUAACUGUGAACGUGAGUCUUGAGAUUAUUGGGUUCACAAGUGUGAGUGGCAAGUAACACUCUGACUUCUCCCCAGAAAAUGUAUCAACUGCCAGCAACCAUGCAGAUGAUGGAUUUGAAAAGAUUAUAGCUUUGAAAGCUUUUCAGUUUCCUCCAGAUCUCAAUUUUGGUAAUCAAGUUUAAGCUCUCCUUCAUCAGGGUGAUGUGACGAACCAUUUAAAUUCGGCUAGUCAACAUUCCGUUUUUAUGCUUAUCCGUUUGGAGUAGGAAAUCUCUUAUUACUCAAAUAUAUUUACUGAAUAAUUAUUCAGUAAAGACAGUUUAUCCCGUUUCCCCCGACUCGUGUGCUUGAACCUCUAAGACGCGACUUACUUGAAAGACAAUAUUGCGCAAACGAUGUAGGAAAAGAAGAGGGCGAGAAAAAUAACGCGGUAAUGUCCAAACACUGAAACCUGUUAAGCGAAGGUUGCUGUAUUGAGUAGCGCAUCAAAACGGAGUUUAGUUCGUCUUCUGUUCACUGUCUUACUAAUUCGUUCCAUACACUGGAUGGUACCGUCCAUCAGAUUGGACCUGCAGAACGCACAGUCGCGGAAGUAAGGCGGUUGUGCUGCCACAUCUUUCUACAGUAAAUGCAAUGGCAGGUUGAUCAUCUAUGUCAUCCUCCAAUUAGAAUUGAAGGUGAAUCUGGACUUUCGGCCAGUGUAGCAAAGACCGGACGCCAGGUUUUGUUCCAACUCCACAACUUGCCAAACAUCUGGCAGCCUGUCUUCAAUCCUAAAAGUGGCGGAGUGUCUGUUCGUGAGUGAAUGAAGCAAGUUCGCCAUUUGCUUUUGAGACGGUGGACCACAGGUGGACGGAAAUGUCAAAUGUGAUGCUGUGUUUUUUGUUUUUUUUUUUACAUGUUAAAAUGCUGAAGUAAUUUCACACAAUUCGACCAAGCUGAAUCGAAAGUGAACAACUCUUAAAGCAACAUGUCGAAGAUCUUCUUUCUUCUGCCUUUUUCUACGUGAUAGCUGCCAUGUCAUAAAGAUGCGUCUUUGAGAGAGUCUCACUAUAUUGCAAGACAAAAGUGUGAUGAAAAUAGGAAUACUGAAAUGAUUUCCAUGGUCAGUUUGAUGUUUGAGCUGCCUAUGGUGUUGCUGUUUGGUGUACAGUGGUUUUGCAGUCAUUUUCCAGUUGAGAGAUAUUCUGAAAUGGAGCUUGUGGAGACUUGCAGUUCAACAUCAUACUAUAAUGUGUUAUUUGCCUAUGUUGGUGUCCAUGCAGUAUAUGCAGUGAUGAACAGUUGGGCUAGUCAAUGUUGCCUGUGGCCGUCUGGCUUAUUUUAUCGGCUGCAUUUUGUCGAUAUGUCUUCUCUUGCUACCUGUACCGUCGUUGAGUUGAUUCGUUUGCCGCCGUUCCUUAGACUUGAUCCACCGGUGAAACUAAGAAGACGUUGCUGAAAUUCAAGAUUGAUCAAAAAACUAUGUAGAUAAAUUACAAGUGCAUAAUCUGGGCUCCCUUCUUCAGUGGCCCCGUUUCCCUAAAUAACCACUAACCAACGCCCGCCGGUGGUCACUCACUCGCUGCGACAACCAGGAGGAAGGGAGAUGUUUGGUCGAACGGGGACUUGCAAGCCGCUUGAUUCGAUGAAAUCUGUUGGAGGGUCAUGAGUCUAAGCCGGAAGUCUUCUAUGAUGCAUUGCUCUCUUAAAAACUGUUCCUCGACUCUCUUCGCUCUAUUUCCGGUUUCUCUUAACCAUGGCCGGGUAAUCUCCCUGGUCGAGUCAGUCGGGCAGUGUCUUCCCCUGCUUGACUGGCUGCAGUUUGAACCGGACGGUCUGUUAAAAUAAGAAUUUAAAUCUAGAACAACGCCUUUGAGCGGCCCGGACAAUCCUGAAUCCUUUAGGGUUGCCAUUCCAUCGAGGCUUAAACGAGGAUGACGCGGAGGUGUUGCCCAUUGAGGGGUUUUGGUGACAAGGAGUCAAUGAACGAAAUGCUAAACCAAAUAAAAAAAAUAUUAAAAAAGGUAAUGCUAGAUACGACAUGAAGCUUUUGCUUUCGCAGAGAAUAAUGUGUAUUUGUGUGCAACCAACGAUCCUUUAUAUAUCCGAGCCGAGUCCUUUCCAUCUAUUCGGUGUGAAGAGAAAAACCCGAAUUUCAACACAUUUUACUGCUUAGCAACGAAAACAAAGCGAGUGUCAAAACAUCGUUUUACUUGCGCAUACUUUAUUGCGGUAGAAACGCGUUGAUCAUGUAACAGGGUAAAUUUUUUCCCUUUUGUUCAUGCAGCACCAAACGACACGCGAUAGGUUCCGGCGGUCAUCAACUAUUCAAGAUGGUAGACCUGUCGAUGUAAAAGACAGGGUAAGGAUAGCUCCUGUAAAUGUUAUUCAUUUAUGUUAAAAGCUGCUAGUAGGAUCGCAUGGUUGAAUCUGCGGUUACAAAAUCCAUGGGCCUAGAGUUCAGACCCAUCCCCAGCAACGUCAACCUGCAGAAAGAAAAAGGCCAGUUUCUAUGGCCUUCAGACUCGAAGAUCGCGGAGAUAACUACGUAAAACUGGCAUGGGGUGGCGUAGAGGUUGGGUGAGAAUGACACGUUUUUCAACAUUAUCAAGCAGACCCAUCCCCGGCAAAGUCACCUGCAGAAGGAAAGGCCAGUUUGCAUUUCAAUUGAAG